UUCUAAAGCUUUUAGGCCUAGAAGUCAAGGAAUGUCAAUUUAUGAAAAAGCCUCCAUAUGGCCAUGGCAAAGGUGAAAAGCAAUAUGGAGGCUUUACUUGGAGCAACGGCAGUUUUUAACUAAAACUGACCAUGAAAUUAUUAAGUUUUUGUUAGAGCAAAGGCUUGCACCAACUAGCAGCAAAAGAGAAUUUUCUAAACUAUGGGGCUUGAUUAUUAGAUUUUGUACAGAAAGGGAGUUGAGAAUAGGGUGGCAGAUGCCUUCUCCAGAAGACUUGCCAGAACUGAUUCACUUUCAUGUUCUUUAAAUUCCACUAUUGCCCCUACUUGGAUGUCAACUAUGAUCAAGAUGGAAAAGCGACUGAAUUGAUCAGGUAGCUUUCUUUGGGUAAGGAUGUUCAUACAAGCUAUCAAUUUUAGAAUGGGGUGUUGGUGCUUUCCAAUAAACAAAGACUUUAUGUGGGUAGUGGAACUAAUUUGAGGAAGCAAUUCUUGGAUCUGUACCAUGGGGUCAACUCUGGGAAGGUAUUCUAGAAUUCAUGCCACUCAUAUAAGGAUCAAGAAGCAUUUCUUUUGCCUGGGAUUUUAUCUGAUGUGUGUUACAUAGCAGAAUCUCAG
rnacentral:misc_RNA from 1 species